UACGGAGGGGGCUAGCGUUGUUCGGAAUUACUGGGCGUAAAGCGCGCGUAGGCGGCUUUGUAAGUUAGAGGUGAAAGCCCGGAGCUCAACUCCGGAAAUGCCAUUGAAACUGUUAAACUUGAGGAUGAGAGAGGUGAGUGGAAUUCCCAGUGUAGAGGUGAAAUUCGUAGAUAUUGGGAAGAACACCGGUGGCGAAGGCGGCUCACUGGCUCAUUACUGACGCUCAUGCACGAAAGCGUGGGGAGCAAACAGG
rnacentral:rRNA from 1 species